rnacentral:rRNA from 1 species
GACGGACCGUACGAACGUUAUUCGGAAUUACUGGGCUUAAAGGGUGCGUAGGCGGCUCAGAAAGUUGAAUGUGAAAGCCCUCGGCUUAACCGAGGAAUUGCAUCCAAAACUACUGGGCUUGAGUGAGACAGAGGUGAGCGGAACUCACGGUGGAGCGGUGAAAUGCGUAGAGAUCGGAAAGAACACCAACGGCGAAAGCACUCUGCUGGGCCGACACUGACACUGAGAGACGAAAGCUAGGGGAGCGAAUGGG